ensembl:snRNA U4 U4 spliceosomal RNA
AGCUUUGCGCAGUGGCAGUAUCGUAGCCUAUGAGGUUUAUCCGAGGCGCGAUUAUUGCUAGUUGAAAACUUUACCCAAUACCCCGCCAUGACGACUUGAAAUAUAGUCGGCUACGGCAAUUUUUGUAGGUCUCUACGGAGA